UAUUUAGAAUCAUAAUCAUUUCAUAAAUUCGGUCUAAAGGCCACUAAAAACAGUCCUCUGUUAUGUCCUAAUUCCGGAUCGAGUAUGAGUCGGUUCGGUUUUUCUAAGUUCUAUUUAAAAAAGUAAAUCUUUGAACACUAUAAAAACAUAAAGAAUAUUUGAUGCAUGUGAACAAAAAACAAUUAUUAUUUUAGAUAAUUUUUUAGUACUAAAAACUAGUGUUCGAAUUUUGUCCAGACAUUUUUUGAACAGUCCUGUGUCAUAAUUUGAAUGUCGCGCCACAAAAAUAUUAAAGACAAUUCUGGUUACAUUGCCCUUGAAACCGAACGUUAACAGUGUGAAGUUUGCUCGGUCGCCAUGCUAAACAAAUCGCCGCCAUUUUGCGCAGUGACAACUCCGCGUCAGUAUGGUAGCCACGUCUCUGUAGUGAUGAGUGAACAUUCCUCUGUAUUGACGCAAUGCCACCAAAGAAGAAACCUAAAACCAAAGAA